rnacentral:rRNA from 1 species
CCCUUAGAUGUUCUGGGCCGCACGCGUGCUACACUGAGUGGAUCAGCGGGUCAGGUUGCGCGAAAGUGUUUCCUAAUCUUUAAAUCCGCUCGUGAUGGGGAUUGACGGUUGCAAUUUUCCGUCAUGAACGAGGAAUACCUUGUAAGCGCGGGUCAUCAUCCCGCGCUGAAUACGUCCCUGCCCUUUGUACACCCCGCCCGUCGCUCCUACCGAUUGAGUGGUCCGGUGAGGCUUUGGGAUCUGAGCGGAAAGAGCGUUUCGCUGUUUCUGCCCGGAAAACUCAGUCGAACCUUAUCAUUUAGAGGAAGGAGAAGUCGUAACA